rnacentral:misc_RNA from 1 species
CCGAGUGAGGGCGCUCCGCGCCCGACCUCCAACCCUAUUGUCGUUGAAACCUCUGUUGCCUCGGGGGCGACCCGGCCGCCUGGCGCCCGGGACCCCCGGUGGACCACUCAACUCUUGCAUCUUUGCGUCGGAGUGAAACAUGAGAAUGAAUCA